GCGGGGCGCUAUACAUGCAGUCGAGCGGACAGAUGGGAGCUUGCUCCCUGAUGUUAGCGGCGGACGGGUGAGUAACACGUGGGUAACCUGCCUGUAAGACUGGGAUAACUCCGGGAAACCGGGGCUAAUACCGGAUGCUUGUUUGAACCGCAUGGUUCAAACAUAAAAGGUGGCUUCGGCUACCACUUACAGAUGGACCCGCGGCGCAUUAGCUAGUUGGUGAGGUAAUGGCUCACCAAGGCGACGAUGCGUAGCCGACCUGAGAGGGUGAUCGGCCACACUGGGACUGAGACACGGCCCAGACUCAUACGGGAGGCAGCAGUAGGGAAUCUUCCGCAAUGGACGAAAGUCUGACGGAGCAACGCCGCGUGAGUGAUGAAGGUUUUCGGAUCGUAAAGCUCUGUUGUUAGGGAAGAACAAGUACCGUUCGAAUAGGGCGGUACCUUGACGGUACCUAACCAGAAAGCCACGGCUAACUACGUGCCAGCAGCCGCGGUAAUACGUAGGUGGCAAGCGUUGUCCGGAAUUAUUGGGCGUAAAGGGCUCGCAGGCGGUUUCUUAAGUCUGAUGUGAAAGCCCCCGGCUCAACCGGGGAGGGUCAUUGGAAACUGGGGAACUUGAGUGCAGAAGAGGAGAGUGUAAUUCCACGUGUAGCGGUGAAAUGCGUAGAGAUGUGGAGGAACACCAGUGGCGAAGGCGACUCUCUGGUCUGUAACUGACGCUGAGGAGCGAAAGCGUGGGGAGCGAACAGGAUUAGAUACCCUGGUAGUCCACGCCGUAAACGAUGAGUGCUAAGUGUUAGGGGGUUUCCGCCCCUUAGUGCUGCAGCUAACGCAUUAAGCACUCCGCCUGGGGAGUACGGUCGCAAGACUGAAACUCAAAGGAAUUGACGGGGGCCCGCACAAGCGGUGGAGCAUGUGGUUUAAUUCGAAGCAACGCGAAGAACCUUACCAGGUCUUGACAUCCUCUGACAAUCCUAGAGAUAGGACGUCCCCUUCGGGGGCAGAGUGACAGGUGGUGCAUGGUUGUCGUCAGCUCGUGUCGUGAGAUGUUGGGUUAAGUCCCGCAACGAGCGCAACCCUUGAUCUUAGUUGCCAGCAUUCAGUUGGGCACUCUAAGGUGACUGCCGGUGACAAACCGGAGGAAGGUGGGGAUGACGUCAAAUCAUCAUGCCCCUUAUGACCUGGGCUACACACGUGCUACAAUGGACAGAACAAAGGGCAGCGAAACCGCGAGGUUAAGCCAAUCCCACAAAUCUGUUCUCAGUUCGGAUCGCAGUCUGCAACUCGACUGCGUGAAGCUGGAAUCGCUAGUAAUCGCGGAUCAGCAUGCCGCGGUGAAUACGUUCCCGGGCCUUGUACACACCGCCCGUCACACCACGAGAGUUUGUAACACCCGAAGUCGGUGAGGUAACCUUUAGAGCCAGCCGCCGAA
rnacentral:rRNA from 1 species